CAGGAUGAACGCUAGCUACAGGCUUAACACAUGCAAGUCGAGGGCAGCAUGAAACUUAGCUUGCUAAGUUUGAUCGGCGACCGGCGCACGGGUGAGUAACACGUAUCCAACCUACCGUUUACUACGGGAUAGCCUUCUGAAAAAGGAGAUUAAUACCGUAUGGUAUUCUAAAGUUUCAUGACAUUAGAAUUAAAGGUUUACCGGUAAUCGAUGGGGAUGCGUUCCAUUAGAUAGUAGGCGGGGUAACGGCCCACCUAGUCAGCGAUGGAUAGGGGUUCUGAGAGGAAGGUCCCCCACAUUGGAACUGAGACACGGUCCAAACUCCUACGGGAGGCAGCAGUGAGGAAUAUUGGUCAAUGGGCGAGAGCCUGAACCAGCCAAGUAAGCGUGAAGGAUGACUGCCCUAUGGGUUGUAAACUUCUUUUAUAAAGGAAUAAAGUGGUCCACGUGUGGAUUUUUGUAUGUACUUUAUGAAUAAGGAUCGGCUAACUCCGUGCCAGCAGCCGC
rnacentral:rRNA from 1 species